AUGGCAUGCUGCUUUAGAAAUAUUUUAAAUCAUUAACAAAAAUAGAAUACUCUGGAACACUUCAACAAUUUUUAGCGAGGCAGAACCCUAGGAAUGUGAAAUGUUUGUCGAAUGAUACAAAGAGACAAAAUAAAAUAACCCUCCCUUCGAAAAAAAAAAUAUUUUACUUCCUCGAGACCUUGUAUUUUACCGUCAUUUCACCUUCAGUCAGGAGAUAAAAGUGUUCAGUUCCAAGGAAACAAUUGCAAAUAAAAUAUUCUCUGCUUCCCGAUAUGAGGCUUUGGUUGCUGCUGCUGCUUACUGGCCUUUCUUCAUCUUUAUGUCAUGCAUCUAAAGAAAACGCAACAUUAUUAUUGGUGCAAACGCUUUCUCGGCAUGGCGAUCGGUCUCCGUCGAGGCUAUAUUCCAAUGAUCCAGAUGCAGCAACUCACUGGCCUGAACGUCUCGGAAAGCUCACUCUGGCGUAUCAAUACAACAUGAGCCGCGACUGCGUGAGAAGAGAGUUAAGAAGCAAGGCUCCUCAAGAAGUAAGACUAUCCAGUCAUGCAGUCAGGACCCUGACAAGAGAGGCUGAGGAAUGGGCCUCCGACUUGGAUUACAUGGCAGGAUUGGCGAUGAGGCAUCGGAAAGGCAGACAAUUAAUAAAAAGAGAUUUUGAAACGGGGAAGCAAAUGCUUGGAUUAGGCCUAUCCAGAGUUUAACUUCAGCCUCGAUGGGAUUCGAAAGAAACUCAAGAGUACGAUCUCUAGACACAGAUUGUCCAGGG